rnacentral:rRNA from 1 species
AGCUCCAAUAGCGUAUAUUAAUGUUGUUGCAGUUAAAAAGCUCGUAGUUGGAUUUCUGACAGGAGCGACCGGUCCGAUCCUUUGGGUCGAGUACUUUGUGUUGUCUCUAGUCAUCCUUAUGGAGAACCUGCGUGGCAUUAAGUUGUCGUGUAGGGGAACCAUAUCGUUUACUGUGAAAAAAUUAGAGUGUUUAAAGCAGGCAAUCGCUGUGAAUACGUUAGCAUGGAAUAAUAAGAUAGGACUUUGGUACUAUUUUGUUGGUUUACAUACCAGGGUAAUGAUUAAGAGGGACAGUUGGGGGUAUUCGUAUUUAAUUGUCAGAGGUGAAAUUCUUGGAUUUAUGAAAGACGAACUACUGCGAAAGCAUUUACCAAGGAUGUUUUCAUUAAUCAAGAACGAA